rnacentral:misc_RNA from 1 species
GAAAUGGCAUGUUCAGAGAAGCUCCUUCGAACGAAAUUCAGCACCUCCUCAGAUAGUCAGAUCUCAACAACUAUUAUCUUCAUCAUUUUCCAAAAUUGAAGCUCGUAUUCUUCAAUUCCUUCGGUUAAUUCAAGAUUGGGAAACGAACAAGUGUGUUCACAAAAACAAGCAAAACAGAGUUAUGCUAGCAAGACGGAAAAUGAGAGUUCGAUAACCUACAGUCCGAUUGCAAUCGUCAUCGAAAUCUCUGAAGCGUAUCUCAAAAUUAAAUGUACUCAGUUGAAUUUGAGAUAGCUAAAAAAUCAGAAACCUAAUCCCUAAUUAUUAAAAUGUAGUUUUUCUCCCUAAUUUUCUAAACAGAAUAUGGAAUAACUUCGAAACUCAGCCAAGUAAAGUCGCUUUCGUUUACGGAAACCGGAUACGGUCAGAGUGCUCAGACCGUACCUGCAACGCAACCGACCAUAAAAAACUCCAUAAUUCCCAGCGAGAAACAAACUUUCCGGCGAGGUACGGCGGUCGCCGGUGAAGGGAAAACGUAGCAAUGAACUCGGUUUUGAGUACGCUCUCGG